UGCCAGCAGCCGCGGUAAUACGGGGGGUGCAAGCGUUGUUCGGAAUUAUUGGGCGUAAAGGGCGCGUAGGCGGGUUCUUAAGUCUGAUGUGAAAUCCCUCGGCUCAACCGAGGACGUGCAUUGGAUACUGGGAACCUUGAGCCCUGGAGAGGAAAGCGGAAUUCCAAGUGUAGAGGUGAAAUUCGUAGAUAUUUGGAGGAACACCAGUGGCGAAGGCGGUUUUCUGGACAGUGACUGACGCUGAGGCGCGAAAGCGUGGGUAGCAAACAGGAUUAGAUA
rnacentral:rRNA from 1 species